rnacentral:lncRNA from 1 species
CCCCCAGGGGUUGGGUUGGGAAGCAAUGGGGCAGCAGCCUCGAGGCUGUGCCAUCCGGCUACCCGCAGGCAGCUUCUGGGCCCGACUCAAGCGCUCCUCCUCCCGCCGGGAAUUGGCAUCUGGUGGGGGGCUGUCCCCUCCGCCAGGAGCCUCAGCCCCCCCCCCAGCUGCGCCCCAGUGCGCCCCCUCGCGGGGCAGCCCCGCCACUUGGCGUCGCCCCAGUGCUGCGCGUGGUGCCCCUCGGGGCGAGGUCCCCAGCAGCGGACGAUCCCGGGCGGCUGGCGGGAGAGGAGAGCUGGGCGCCGGCGGGGAGCCGCCUGGGCUCGGCGACUUACCUCGGGCGGCGCGCUCGCUGCCCUCGUCCCUGCCCUUCAGUGCCGCAGCUUGCGGGCGGGGAGCGGGCGUGGGACCGAGGGAUUCCCUGCUGCAGGGAGUCAACUCCAACCGCUCCGCAGCCCCGCCGCCGGUGAGCUCGUCUACGCCGUCAUUUUUUCAAAGCUUUCCCCCGUGUGCGCGCGCGCUGUGCUGGCAGGAGCCAGCCUGAGCCUUAGCCCGGGAGGAGGAAGAUCCCUGGUGAGAGAAGGAGGUCAGUGGUCUGGAUCCCCCGCCAACAGUCACCGGCCUCAUUACCAGGGGCAAACGAUCGUCUCCCCCGCACCCAGCUGCCGGCGACGUCCCGCGGGCUCUAGAGAGGGCACAUGGUCCCGCCCGGGGCGGCUGGGGGCGGGGCUCCCUGGGGCGGCGCGCCCAGCGUCGCAGACGCGGCUUGGUGGCGGUGCGGGCGCCCAGAGCGCUCGCAUCCCACCCUGGAGGAUGCGGCCGCGGGGGCGGGCGCUGGCUGCCAGCGGCACGGUCCGCGGCCCGGCCCAGCUUCCCAGUCAGAGGCGGGGAGCGGUGGCUCGCGGAUCCCUCCCCCACUCCCGGCGAACCUGCAGAAGGCGGGUGGCGGGUCUGAGAAGCGGUCCACCGCCCACGUCUCAAAACCGACCCGGACGGCGGCGGCCUGAGGAAUCAGCCUGGACUCAGGGGCGGGCGGCUCCGGGCGUUCGGUUCUGA